rnacentral:rRNA from 1 species
GACGAACGCUGGCGGCGUGCUUAACACAUGCAAGUCGAACGGAAAGGCCCUGCUUUUGUGGGGUGCUCGAGUGGCGAACGGGUGAGUAACACGUGAGUAACCUGCCCUUGACUUUGGGAUAACUUCAGGAAACUGGGGCUAAUACCGGAUAGGAGCUCCUGCUGCAUGGUGGGGGUUGGAAAGUUUCGGCGGUUGGGGAUGGACUCGCGGCUUAUCAGCUUGUUGGUGGGGUAGUGGCUUACCCAGGCUUUGACGGGUAGCCGGCCUGAGAGGGUGACCGGCCACAUUGGGACUGAGAUACGGCCCAGACUCCAACGGGAGGCAGCAGUGGGGAAUAUUGCACAAUGGGCGGAAGCCUGAUGCAGAAACGCCGCGGGCGGGAUGACGGCCUGCGGGGUGUAAACCGCUUUCGCCUGUGACGAAGCGUGAGUGACGGUAAUGGGUAAAGAAGCACCGGCUAACUACGUG